GGGGGCGUUACGGAUUCGACAGGCAUAGUUUGAGCCUGAAUUGCGCUUCGUAGGUUACGUCUACGUAAAAACGUUACAGUUAAUAUAACUGCAAACAACAAUAACACUUACGCUUUAGCUGCCUAAAAACAGUUAACGUAGAUCCUCCUGUCAUCGCCCAUGUGCCAGAUCAGGGUCCUAACUUAGUGGGAUACACAAUUUUUCUUCCGUCUGUAGAAAAUUGAAGAGCUUAUCAGACUAGCAAGAAAACCGGCCUGUCAUUCGGCAGAUUUUUGAGCGAAAUUCGAAUAGAACUGACUAUGAGCGUAGACUUUUAGGUAGCGAUAUGUUUGGACGCGGGUUCAACUCCCGCCGCCUCCAU
rnacentral:tmRNA from 1 species